AUUGAACGCUGGCGGCAGGCCUAACACAUGCAAGUCGAACGAGUGGCGGACGGGUGAGUAAUGUCUGGGAAACUGCCCGAUGGAGGGGGAUAACUACUGGAAACGGUAGCUAAUACCGCAUACCAUCGGAUGUGCCCAGAGGGGAUUAGCUAGUAGGUGGGGUAACGGCUAACCAAGGCGACGAUCCCUAGCUGGUCUGAGAGGAUGACCAGCCACACUGGAACUGAGACACGGCCCAGACUACGACGGGAUGCAGCAGUGGGGAAUAUUGCACAAUGGGCUCAAGCCUGAUGCAGCCAUGCCGCGUGUAUGAAGAAGGCCUUCGGGUUUUAAAGUUCUUUCAGCGAUGAGGCGUUACUCGCAGAAGAAGCACCGGCUAACUCCGUGCCAGCAGCCGCGGUAAUAC
rnacentral:rRNA from 1 species